rnacentral:rRNA from 1 species
ACGGGGUGCAGCAGGCGCGAAAUCUUCACAAUGUGCGAAAGCACGAUGAGGGGAUCCCAAGUGCUGGCACGUAAGUGUCGGCUGUUUCUUUGUCUAAAAAACAAAGAGAGUAAGAGCUGGGUAAGACGGGUGCCAGCCGCCGCGGUAAUACCUGCAGCUCAAGUGGUGGUCGCUAUUAUUGGGCCUAAAACGUCCGUAGCCGGUUUAGUAAAUGCUUGGGUAAAUUGUGUAGCUUAACUAUACGAAUACCGGGUAGACUGCUAAACUUGGGACCGGGAGAGGCUAGAGGUACUCCUAGGGUAGAGGUGAAAUUCUGUAAUCCUAGGGGGACCACCAGUGGCGAAGGCGUCUAGCUAGAACGGGUCUGACGGUGAGGGACGAAGCCCUGGGGCGCGAACCGGAUUAGAUACCCGGGUAGUCCAGGGUGUAAACGCUGCUUGCUUGAUGUUAGUUGGGCUCCGAGCCCAACUAGUGUCGGAGAGAAGUUGUUAAGCAAGCUGCCUGGAAGUACGUCGCAAGAC